rnacentral:rRNA from 1 species
AGGAGUUUGAUCCUGGGUCAGGAUGAACGCUAGCGGCAGGCUUAAUACAUGCAAGUCGAGGGGCAUCGGGGGUAGCAAUACCUGCCGGCGACCGGCAAACGGGUGCGGAACACGUACACAACCUUCCUUUAAGUGGGGGAUAGCCCAGAGAAAUUUGGAUUAAUACCCCGUAACAUUAGUAGAUGGCAUCAUUUACGAAUUAAAGCUACGGCGCUUAGAGAUGGGUGUGCGUCUGAUUAGGUAGUUGGUUGAGGUAACGGCUCACCAAGCCUUCGAUCAGUAACUGGUGUGAGAGCACGACCAGUCACACGGGCACUGAGACACGGGCCCGACUCCUACGGGAGGCAGCAGUAAGGAAUAUUGGUCAAUGGACGCAAGUCUGAACCAGCCAUGCCGCGUGGAGGAUGAAGGUCCUCUGGAUUGUAAACUUCUUUUAUCUGGGAAGAAAUGCAUUUUUUCUAAAGGUUUGACGGUACCAGAAGAAUAAGCACCGGCUAACUCCGUGCCAGCAGCCGCG